ensembl:lncRNA
CGGGUACCGAUGGAUGUACGCUAAAUGCAGGGAGCAUGGACUGCGUGUGAGGAAAGAGGAUGUGCGGUUGUUGUUAAAAGAGCUCGAUCCAAGAGGAGUGUCAAGAAGGCUAGCAAGACGUCUCAGACGACGAAACUACUUCUCUAAAGGGCCGAACUUCAUAUGGCACAUUGACUCUUAUGAUAAACUUAAGCCAUAUGGCAUUUGUAUCAAUGGAAGUAUUGAUGGCUUCUCAAGGAAAAUGAUUUGGCUCAAUGCUUACACAACAAGCGGUGACCCAAGUUGAUCGGAGGGUAUUACAUAGAAGCAGUGCAGCGUUUGGGUGGCUGUCCCAGAGUUGUGCGCGGCGAUCUUGGAACCGAAAAUGGCUGCGUCCGAGGCUUUCAGCGUUUCCUCGUCCCCAUCCAGCCAGACUGCACCAUUGACAGUUACUUGGAGGGAGCCAGCACCGCCAAUCAAAGGAUUGAAUAUUGGUGGGGUUUUUUCCGUAGGGAGUGCGUGGAGUUCUGGUUAACUUUGUUUGCAGACCUCAGAGACAACGGUUUCUUUGAUGGUGGGUUUCUGGAUAAAGGUCUCCUUCAGUUUUGUUGCAUGGGACUCAUCCAGGAUGAGUUGGAUGACACGGCACAGGUUUGGAACACACACACUAUCAGGCCAUCGAAAAAUCCUAACAUCCCCAGCGGUCGGCCGAACGUGAUGUUUGCAGUACCUGAACUCUAUGGGACAAGAGACUUCCUUUCCCUAAUUGAAGAUGGUGAAUUUCAACUGUGCAAAAACGAAUGCAUCUUUCGCCAGACCAAACCGUGUGAUCCAGAUCUGUAUGAACUAUGCAACAUCUUUUUGGCUGAGUCCAAUCUCACCCUAGCAACAGAUCCAUAUCAGGCAGUGAACUUGUACAUGCACCUCAGAGAGGCCAUCAGGGCAUGUGUGUAGGUCAGACGUAUUUUGUGGUCACAUAUGUAAAUAAUUCACCUUGCUGUUCUUUUCCUUUUAUAAGUUUCUGGUCACAUAUGUAAAUAAUUCACCUUGCUGUUCUUUUCCUUUUAUAAGUUUCCUUUAAAGGUCCCAUGACAUGAAAAUCUCACUUUAUGAGGUUUUCUAACAUAAAUAUGAGUUCCCCUAGCCUGCCUAUGGUCCCCCAGUGGCUAAAACUUGCAUUUGGUGUAAAACGAGCACUAGCUGUUCUGCUCGCCUUUGAAAAAACGAGGCUCAAGCGCGCUGAUUUGGAAUUGCUCGUUUUACACCAAACGCAAGUUUUAGC